rnacentral:rRNA from 1 species
GCCAGACUCCUACGGGAGGCAGCAGUGAGGAAUAUUGGUCAAUGGGCGGGAGCCUGAACCAGCCAAGUCGCGUGAGGGAAGACGGUCCUACGGAUUGUAAACCUCUUUUGCCGGGGAGCAACGGGGUCCUUGCGAGGGCCCGAUGAGAGUACCCGGAGAAAAAGCAUCGGCUAACUCCGUGCCAGCAGCCGCGGUAAUACGGAGGAUGCGAGCGUUAUCCGGAUUUAUUGGGUUUAAAGGGUGCGUAGGCGGAAUGCCAAGUCAGCGGUAAAAUCGCGGGGCUCAACCCCGGCCGGCCGUUGAAACUGGCGUGCUCGAGUUGGAGAGAAGUAUGCGGAAUUCGUGGGGUAGCGGUGAAAUGCUUAGAUAUCACGAAGAACUCCGAUUGCGAAGGCAGCCUACUAAACUGCCACUGACAUUGAUGCUCGAAAGUGUGGGUAUCAAACAGGAUUAGAUACCCGAGUAA